UACGGAGGGUGCAAGCGUUGUCCGGAUUUAUUGGGUUUAAAGGGUGCGUAGGCGGCUAUUUAAGUCAGCGGUGAAAGACUCCGGCUCAACCGGAGCAGUGCCAUUGAUACUGGAUAGCUUGAGUGUUGGAGGGGUACAUGGAAUUGAUGGUGUAGCGGUGAAAUGCAUAGAUACCAUCAGGAACACCGAUAGCGAAGGCAUUGUACUGGCCAACAACUGACGCUGAGGCACGAAAAGCAUGGGGGAGCGAACAGG
rnacentral:rRNA from 1 species